rnacentral:rRNA from 1 species
CAGUAGCCGCGGUAACACGUAGGUGGCAAGCGUUGUCCGGAAUUAUUGGGCGUAAAGGGCUCGCAGGCGGUUUCUUAAGUCUGAUGUGAAAGCCCCCGGCUCAACCGGGGAGGGUCAUUGGAAACUGGGAAACUUGAGUGCAGAAGAGGAGAGUGGAAUUCCACGUGUAGCGGUGAAAUGCGUAGGGAUGUGGAGGAACACCAGUGGCGAAGGCGACUCUCUGGUCUGUAACUGACGCUGAGGAGCGAAAGCGUGGGGAGCGAACAGGAUUAGAUACCCGUGUAGUCCAUGUCUCUUAUAC